GCUGCCAAGACGGCACAAACAUGCCUGCGGACA
rnacentral:tRNA from 2 species